rnacentral:misc_RNA from 1 species
UGGUUUUUCUUCAACUUCCAAUGGGAUCUCCAAAACAUGAUAUUUUCUAUUCCAUGGGACACAUUGCUCAAGCUCUUCAUCUUCAGCCAUAGCUAAAGAAAAUUUCAUUAAAGUUUGUAGUUCAGAUUCUUAAAAUUAGGCUCCUCCACUGUUGAACAUAUUAGUUUUGGGAGUAAAAUAAGUAUAUUUCUGUGUAUUUUCAGUAUGAAUAUGCUUUAUGUACUCUUCCUAUUUAUAUACAAGAUAUCUAGAUACAACAGGAAUUCUAG